rnacentral:misc_RNA from 1 species
AGCAGCCGCGGUAAUUCCAGCUCCAAUAGCGUAUAUUAAAGUUGUUGCAGUUAAAAAGCUCGUAGUUGAAUUUCGGGGUUAGUAGGUUGGUCAUGCCUCUGGUAUGUACUGGUCUCACUGAUUCCUCCUUCCUGAUGAGCCGUAAUGCCAUUAAUUUGGUGUUGCGGGGAAUCUGGACUGUUACUUUGAAAAAAUUUAGAGUGUUUAAAGCAAGCUAACGCUUGAAUACAUUAGCAUGGAAUAAUGAAAUAGGACGUUCGAUCCUAUUUUGUUGGUUUCUAGGAUUGACGUAAUGAUUAAUAGGGAUAGUUGGGGGCAUUAGUAUUCAAUUGUCAGAGGUGAAAUUCUUGGAUUUAUUGAAGACUAACUACUGCGAAAGCAUUUGCCAAGGAUGUUUUCAUUAAUCAAGAACGAAAGUUAGGGGAUCGAAGACGAUCAGAUACCGUCGUAGUCUUAACCGUAAACUAUGCCGACUAGGGAUCGGAUGAUGUUAAUUUUUUAAUGACUCAUUCGGCGCCUU